AAUAGAUACCCAGGUAGUCCACGCCGUAAACGAUGGGUACUAGAUUUGGUGGGUCUUGACCCCCGCCGAAUCGGCGCUAACGCACUAAGUACCCCGCCUGGGAAGUACGGUCGCAAGACUAAAACUCAAAGGAAUUGACGGGGGCCCGCACAAGCGGUGGAUCAUGUGGUUUAAUUCGAAGCAACGCGAAGAACCUUACCUGGAUUUGACAUCCUCUGACAGCUGUAGAGAUACAGUCUUCGUAGCAAUACGACAGAGAGACAGGUGCUGCAUGGCUGUCGUCAGCUCGUGUGGUGACAUGUUGGGUUAAGUCCCGCAACGAGCGCAACCCUUGUCCUUAGUUGCCAGCAUUAAGUUGGGCUCUCUAAGGAGACUGCCGUGGUGAACACGGAGGAAGGUGGGGAUGACGUCAAGUCCUCAUGGCCUUUAUAUCCAGGGCGACACACGUGAUACAAUGGCCGGUCCGAACGGGAAGCCAACCCGCGAGGGGAGCGGAUCCCAGCAAACCCGGUCUCAGUUCAGAUUGCAGGCUG
rnacentral:rRNA from 1 species